AUUGAACGCUGGCGGCAGGCCUAACACAUGCAAGUCGAACGAGUGGCGGACGGGUGAGUAAUGUCUGGGAAACUGCCUGAUGGCGGGGGAUAACUACUGGAAACGGUAGCUAAUACCGCAUACCAUCGGAUGUGCCCAGAUGGGAUUAGCUAGUAGGUGGGGUAAAGGCUCACCUAGGCGACGAUCCCUAGCUGGUCUGAGAGGAUGACCAGCCACACUGGAACUGAGACACGGCCCAGACUCCGAAGGGAGGCAGCAGUGGGGAAUAUUGCACAAUGGGGGAAAGCCUGAUGCAGCCAGGCCGCGUGUAUGAAGAAGGCCUUCGGGUUGUAAAGUACUUUCAGCGGGGAGGCGUUACCCGAAGAAGAAGCACCGGCUAACUCCGUGCCAGCAGCCGCGGUAAUUC
rnacentral:rRNA from 1 species